rnacentral:rRNA from 1 species
UACGUAGGGAGCAAGCGUUGUCCGGAAUCAUUGGGCGUAAAGAGCGCGUAGGUGGCUUUAUAAGUCCGUUGUGAAAGUCAAAGGCUCAACCUUUGAAAGCCGAUGGAUACUGUGAAGCUAGAGUACGGAAGAGGCGAGUGGAAUCCCUGGUGUAGCGGUGGAAUGCGCAGAUAUCAGGAGGAACACCAAUAGCGAAGGCAGCUCGCUGGGACGUUACUGACACUGAGGCGCGAAAGCGUGGGGGAGCGAACAGG